GGGNNUGCCUCAGUAACGGCGAGUGAAGCGGCANNAGCUCAAAUUUGAAAUCUGGUCCCCUCUGGGGGCCCGAGUUGUAAUUUGAAGAGGAUGCUUUUGGCGAGGCGCCGUCCGAGUUCCCUGGAACGGGACGCCGCAGAGGGUGAGAGCCCCGUACGGUCGGACGCCGAGCCUCUGUAAAGCUCCUUCGACGAGUCGAGUAGUUUGGGAAUGCUGCUCAAAAUGGGAGGUAAACCCCUUCUAAAGCUAAAUACCGGCCAGAGACCGAUAGCGCACAAGUAGAGUGAUCGAAAGAUGAAAAGCACUUUGAAAAGAGAGUUAAAAAGCACGUGAAAUUGUUAAAAGGGAAGCGCUUGCGACCAGACUUGCGCCCGUCGGAUCAACCGUCGCUUGCGGCGGCGCACUCCGGCGGGCUCAGGCCAGCAUCAGUUCGCUCGGGGGGAGAAAGGCGGCGGGAAUGUAGCUCCUCGGAGUGUUAUAGCCCGCCGUGUAAUACCCUCGGGUGGACUGAGGACCGCGCGUAUGCAAGGAUGCUGGCGUAAUGGUCGUCAGCGACCCGUCUUGAAACACGGACCAAGGAGUCGUCCUAAUAUGCGAGUGUACGGGUGUCAAACCCCUGCGCGUAAUGAAAGUGAACGGAGGUGAGAGCUUCGGCGCAUCAUCGACCGAUCCUGAUGUUAUCGGAUGGAUUUGAGUAAGAGCAUAUUGGGCCGGACCCGAAAGAAGGUGAACUAUGCCUGUGUAGGGUAAAGCCAGAGGAAACUCUGGUGGAGGCUCGCAGCGGUUCUGACGUGCAAAUCGAUCGUCAAACAUGGGCAUGGGGGCGAAAGACUAAUCGANCCUUCUAGUA
rnacentral:rRNA from 1 species